AUUGAACGCUGGCGGCAGGCCUAACACAUGCAAGUCGAGCGGAUGAAGGGAGCUUGCUCCUGGAUUCAGCGGCGGACGGGUGAGUAAUGCCUAGGAAUCUGCCCGGUAGUGGGGGAUAACGUCCGGAAACGGGCGCUAAUACCGCAUACGUCCUGAGGGAGAAAGUGGGGGAUCUUCGGACCUCACGCUAUCAGAUGAGCCUAGGUCGGAUUAGCUAGUUGGUGGGGUAAAGGCCUACCAAGGCGACGAUCCGUAACUGGUCUGAGAGGAUGAUCAGUCACACUGGAACUGAGACACGGUCCAGACUCCUACGGGAGGCAGCAGUGGGGAAUAUUGGACAAUGGGCGAAAGCCUGAUCCAGCCAUGCCGCGUGUGUGAAGAAGGUCUUCGGAUUGUAAAGCACUUUAAGUUGGGAGGAAGGGCAGUACGUUAAUACCUUGCUGUUUUGACGUUACCAACAGAAUAAGCACCGGCUAACUUCGUG
rnacentral:rRNA from 1 species